GACGAACGCUGGCGGCGUGCUUAACACAUGCAAGUCGAGCGGUAAGGCCCUUUUGGGGGUACACGAGCGGCGAACGGGUGAGUAACACGUGGGUGACCUGCCCUCAGCUCUGGGAUAAGCCUGGGAAACUGGGUCUAAUACUGGAUAUGACCUUUCCUCGCAUGGGGUUGGGUGGAAAGUUUUUCGGCUGGGGAUGGGCCCGCGGCCUAUCAGCUUGUUGGUGGGGUGAUGGCCUACCAAGGCGACGACGGGUAGCCGGCCUGAGAGGGCGACCGGCCACACUGGGACUGAGACACGGCCCAGACUCCUACGGGAGGCAGCAGGUGGGGAAUAUUGCGCAAUGGGCGGAAGCCUGACGCAGCGACGCCGCGUGGGGAUGAC
rnacentral:rRNA from 1 species